UACGUAGGGUGCAAGCGUUGUCCGGAAUUAUUGGGCGUAAAGAGCUCGUAGGCGGUCUGUCACGUCGGCUGUGAAAUCCCGAGGCUCAACCUCGGGUCUGCAGUCGAUACGGGCAAACUAGAGUAUUGCAGGGGAGACUGGAAUUCCUGGUGUAGCGGUGAAAUGCGCAGAUAUCAGGAGGAACACCGGUGGCGAAGGCGGGUCUCUGGGCAAUAGCUGACGCUGAGGAGCGAAAGCAUGGGGGAGCGAACAGG
rnacentral:rRNA from 1 species